GGGAUAAUAGUAUAGUGGUCAGUAUAUCUCCUUGUGGUGAUCAUCGGAGACGACCCCGGUUCGAUUCCGGGUUAUCCCA